GAAUCCAUUUGAAUCCAUUGGACAAAAACUGAAUGGACCGAAAGGACAUUGCGUGUUUACAGGCACACGAAGAAAUGGACAACAAAUCCACCUCUCACAUGGAAUUGGAUAGGAGAUGUCAGAGCGUCGUCACGUGGACAGAGCAACUGAGCCCCUGGAGGUGAAGAGGUAUCAAUGCUACAAAGUACGUGCGAAGCAAUGCAGAAGCAAUCAUUUUCGUAGCAGGGUAAUCAAUUGUUGACACAGGAACAUUUUAUCCCACUGUCAAGAAGCUGAUAUUGCUGUGAAGCAGCAGUGAUGAUGUACGCAAAGCAGCGAUCCUUGCUGCGUGGACAAUUUCUGUAAGCAGGGUGGAUAAGAAGAAGCUGGUUGCAGGUACUGGAGUGGCACUGGACAUGACCACACUAACCAUCAUCCGAGCUCUUCCAAGUGAGGGCGAACGUUUAUACUAUUAAAUGUCGCAAUUUAAAUGGACAUUGUUUGAAGCAUAACCCUAAUUCAUUACGCUCACAAUCUUUGCACUCAUUAGCAUCGAUCUGAGCUUGGAAGGACUCGCAGUAGCAGGUACAAGUGUGCAUGUGAACGGGAUGAAGAGGUAAUCAUGCCUGUUGCAAAAAAAAUCGAGAAUCCAAAUGACGGUUGUCAAGAGAGGAAUUCCUCAACCAGGUGGACAUCGUGAUAUGUGAUGUCCUUCACGAAGAUCCUGGUUUGUAGGCUUCGCAGCUGCUGAAGCGUCGACUGAGCAGGCCCAAGAGAUACGAUUGUCCAUAGGACAUUCGGUUACGAAUCCCAAAACUCUUGCAAAGAGUUCCUCUUAAACCACCCAUGUCACAGAAGUCUGCUUUCGACACUAAUGUAAUUUUAAAGCAUCACCCUAUACAAAAACACCACAAGUCUCCUGAACGUGGUGUAUCUG